rnacentral:tRNA from 1 species
GGGCGAUUAGCUCAGCUGGUUAGAGCGUCCGGCUUACAUCCGGGAGGUCGAGGGUUCAAGUCCUUCAUCGCCCACCA